rnacentral:rRNA from 1 species
UACGUAGGGUGCAAGCGUUUGUCCGGAAUUAUUGGGCGUAAAGAGCUCGUAGGCGGCUUGUCGCGUCGGCUGUGAAAACCUGGGGCUCAACCCCGGGCCUGCAGCCGAUACGGGCAAGCUAGAAUUCGGUAGGGGAGACUGGAAUUCCUGGUGUAGCGGUGAAAUGCGCAGAUAAUCAGGAGGAACGACCGGUGGCGAAGGCGGAUCUCUGGGCCGAUUACUGACGCUGAGGAGCGAAAGCGUGGGGAGCGAACAGG